rnacentral:rRNA from 1 species
GUGUCAGCAGCCGCGGUAAGACGAACCGAGCGAACGUUGUUCGGAAUAACUGGGCUUAAAGGGCGCGUAGGCGGGCCGCCAAGUUCGAGGUGAAAUCCUCCGGCUCAACCGGAGAACUGCCUCGAAUACUGGAGGCCUCGAGGCGGGUAGGGGCGUGCGGAACUGUGGGUGGAGCGGUGAAAUGCGUUGAUAUCCACAGGAACUCCGGUGGCGAAGGCGGCACGCUGGACCCGAUCUGACGCUGAGGCGCGAAAGCCAGGGGAGCAAACGGGAUUAGAAACCCCCGUAGUCC